UGCUCUGUGGCUAAGUUGGUUACGGCGUCCGACUGUUAAAUCCCACACUUUCAACGAAUCGGAAGAUCGUGAGUUCGAAACUCACCGGAGCAG